CCUGUAAGUGGGGAUAUUUUGGUCACGCACGUGGGUUGCGUCAAACCUUUGUUUACAGUGACCAUGUGACCAACUAUAGGCCAAUCAGAACGAGGCAAGUGACCUUCUUGGAUAAAUCAAAAAAUGGCGCACAUGGAGUCUACCGAGCCGGGUGAAAUGAAGAAAGCAGAGCUACUCGUGCCUAGUAGCGUGGAAGGUGACGAAAUAGGAGAAGAAAUGAAGAAAAGCGGCUCUCGGUUUCAAGUGGCCCGUGUGGACUGUGUUAAUGAAACUAAAUUUGAAGAAUCACCAAAGGAUACAAGAAGCAAUGUGCAUGAUAAGGGACCGGAAUCUCCUUCAGCCACCUUCUCUCUCAGUGGCGAUUCCUUUCGGAGUUAUUCAGAUACCAAUAAUUUGAAAACUUUUGCAAUGAAUACUCAUGAGGCUCUGCCAUGUGUUGACCAUUACAGGAACAUACUGUCGGCGACAGGAGGAAUGAAAUCGCGACCGACACUCGCCCAGCUACACGAGGAAAUGGAUGAUGAAGAAAUGCGAGGUAGACACAAAGAUCCCCUCCUGGCCGGGGAGGAGAGAUUGGUCAGUGACAGUAACGUGGCAAUCUCCACUGACAAGAAGCCACAACAAGGGGCUUUGAAAUUUGGCUGGAUCAAAGGUGUCCUGGUGCGAUGUCUGCUAAAUAUCUGGGGUGUCAUGCUGUUCAUCCGCCUGUCGUGGGUGGUUGGCCAGGCUGGCAUGGGCCUCACUGCAGUCAUCAUCCUCCUGUCCGGCGUUGUCACCACACUUACUGCUCUAUCCAUGUCAGCCAUUUGUACAAAUGGAGAAGUAAAGGGAGGUGGUGCAUAUUAUAUGAUAUCCCGUAGUUUGGGAGCUGAGUUUGGUGGUGCUAUUGGCCUCAUCUUUUCAGUAGCCAACGCUGUAGCUAUUGCAAUGUAUGUAGUAGGCUUUGCAGAAACUGUUCGAGAUUUAUUAAAGAACAAUAAUGCCUUGAUGAUAGAUGAAACCAAUGAUAUCCGAAUAAUUGGGUUCAUCACGAUAUCUCUGCUCCUAGCCAUUGCUAUUAUUGGUAUGGACUGGGAAGCUAGGGCCCAGCUGGUAUUGUUAGCUGUCUUGGUGAUUGGGCUGGUCAAUUUUGUUGUUGGUUGUCUCAUCCCUCCGACAGAAACCAAGAAAGUCAAGGGAUUUGUGGGAUUUAAAACUGAUCUCUUUAUUGAGAACAUGCUUCCUGCAUUUGGGGAGGGGCAGGAGUUUUUCUCAGUGUUUUCUGUAUUCUUCCCGGCGGCCACUGGAAUUUUGGCUGGAGCCAACAUCUCUGGGGAUCUUAAGGAUGCCCAGACAGCAAUCCCAAAAGGAACCCUACUGUCCAUCCUCAUUUCCACCAUUGUGUAUCUGGGCGUGGCCUGGACCCUGGGGGGCUGCAUGCUGCGCGAUGCUGUCGGACCCCUCAACGUGGCAGUGGGUGCAACCACUGUUGUACAGCUUUCAAACGUCACAACUACAACGCUGGCGUCGGUGGUGAUGUCGGCGGCAAUGUCAGCGGCACAGCAAGCCCCAAACACGUCAACAAGUACUGUGUAUACGGUGGAUGUGAUACGAAACUGCUCUCUCGGCGAGAAUGGCGUAUGUGCUUAUGGGCUGAUGCAUGAUUAUCAGGCCAUGGAGAUGAUGUCAGGCUUUGGUCCACUUAUCACAGCUGGAAUCUUCUCGGCCACACUUUCCUCGGCAUUAGCGAGUCUUGUUUCCGCCCCUAAAGUCUUCCAGGCUGUUUGCAAAGAUGAAAUCUUCCCUAAAAUAAAGUUUUUUGCAAAAGGCUAUGGGAUUGAUGAUAGCCCAAGACGUGCCUACCUGCUGGCUUAUUUUAUAGGUUUAGGAUUUGUUUUUAUUGGUGACCUGAAUGCCAUAGCCCCUGUGAUAUCCAAUUUCUUUCUUAUGUCUUACACACUGAUCAACUAUUCCUGCUUCGAUGCCUCACUUGCCCGCUCACCAGGUUGGCGCCCAGCAUUCCGUUUCUACAACAAGUGGUGCAGCUUGCUGGGAGCUAUCAUCUGCCUGGCAGUCAUGUUCAUCAUCAACUGGUGGACUGCACUCAUCACAUUUGGAGUCAUCAGUGCCUUGUUUAUAUAUGUACACCACACAAAGCCAGAGGUGAACUGGGGGUCAUCGACACAAGCACAUGUGUACCGAAAUGCUCUGCAGUCUUCCCUUAAACUCAUAUCAGUUGAAGACCAUAUCAAAAACUUCAGACCACAGAUGCUUGUCUUGUCCGGUUUACCAGAGAAUCGACCAGCCCUAAUAGAUUUUGUUUCCCAUAUCAGCAAAAAAAUUAGUCUGAUGGUGUGUGCUAAUGUUAUAGUGGGUCAGCAGAGCGGUAACCUGAAGAAGCUCCUUAACACCAACGCUGCAUACAGCUGGCUGAGCAAGCGGAGAGUCAAGGCCUUCUACACUGCCACUACUGCCCCAUCGUUCCGCCACGGUGCCCAGUCUAUAAUGCAUACUGUUGGCGUUGGCAAGCUUCGACCUAAUACAUUAAUCAUGGGUUUCAAAUCUGAUUGGACAAAGUGUGAGCCAAGUGCUGUGGAGGAAUAUUUCAAGAUAAUACAUGAUGCCUUCGACCUGAAUUAUGGAGUGGGUCUGUUGAGGCUGCAGGAAGGCUUUGGUCUGGAUGUGGACAUGGAUGCAACAUUCAUGCCCGAUGGUUUGACAGAAGAUGAUGGCAUUCUCAGUUUCCCCCGUCGACCUCCAGAAAUAAGCGAUGACGACUUAACUCCGGAUGACACACCCCCUCACCGCCUCCACAGCAGCUAUGACAGGAUUGACAACAACACUCCCAUGCCUUCCAAGUCUACCAACCUGGUACCUGGGGACAUACAGAAUGGUCCUAGCAAAUCAAGGGAAAAGCUGAACAUUGAAGUCUUAAAAGGAAUUAAUAUGUUUAAGCGACACCCCAAGAAAGGGACCAUAGAUGUUUGGUGGUUGUUUGAUGAUGGUGGUCUGACGCUACUGAUUCCCUACAUCCUGACAACCAAGGCUCACUGGCGGGGCUGCAAACUGAGGGUCUUCACUGCAGGCACCAAGAAGGGCGACCUGGACAGGGAACAGAGACAGAUGGCCACCCUGUUGUCCAAGUUCCGCAUCGAGUGUAAGGACAUGACUGUGUUACCUGAUGUCAACAAGGCUCCUUGUGAAGAGAGUCAGAUGGAGUUCAAGAAUCUGGUGAGUGACUGGGUACUGGACACCAAGGCAGGAGAGACAGAGGAAAAGUUCCCUUGGAAAACCACACAGGAUGAGAUGGAGUUGCUCAAAGACAAGACAAAUCGCCACAUUCGACUUCGAGAGCUGAUGCAAGAAAAAUCACGAGAUGCAUCCCUGAUAGUCAUGACCCUGCCUAUGCCGAGAAAGGGCACCUGCUCUGCUGGGCUGUACAUGUCAUGGAUAGACACCCUCACAAGGGACAUGCCGCCUAUACUUCUACUUAGAGGCAAUCAAACCAGUGUUCUCACAUUCUACUCAUAGUACACAGCCUUACAGGGCCAUGGUAUUUACCUGACACAGGAACCUUUUUACAGCUGGUGACAAUGUAGGCCAAUGGAGCUACUAUAUGUGACAUUCACCAACCACAUCUCGGUCCAGUGGAACUUAUGCAGGAGUUUGGAUAUACACGACUUACACCAUCUAUGGAACAUGUGAUUAGGACUCUUGAGCCAAGGUUAUUACUGUAGUACUGAUGUUAUAUUUGUAUAUGGGAUAUAUGGAACCAAGCAUUUAUGGUAUUUAACACUAAAUUGUCAUGGCUGCUUGUAUACAUACAAGGAUUAUGCACUUAUUCAAAGUAGACAUUAAUCCAGUAAGUGCAAUAUAAUCUGGUUUGACUGUUUGCACAAGGGAUUCAAGUACAACAAGAGACAAAGUACAAGGAUCUCAAGUACAUCAAGGGCCUAAGUACAAGGAUCCUAUGUACAAGGCUUAAGUACAAGGCUCUCAAGUACAACAAGGGCCUAAGUACAAGGCUCUCAAGUACAAGGAUCUCAAGUACCACAAGGGCCUUAGUACAAGGCUCUCAAGUACAACAAGGGCCUUAGUACAAGGAUCUCAAGUACAACAGGGGCCUAAGUACAAGGAUCUCAAGUACAAGCAAGUUGUCAAAAGAUUUGUUACAAGUGACAAACCAGGAGGACUUGUCGGCCAGAGAUAUACAAUUGUUGAUAAUAUAGGCUGUUUGAUCCAACUAGGAGGGAGAUCUUAACAACGAUCCUAAGUACAAGGCUUAAGUACCAAGAGGGCCCAAGUACAAGGAUCUCAAGUACAACAAGGGCCUAAUUACAAGGCUCUCAAGAAGGGCCUAAAUACAAGGCUCUCAAGUACAACAAGGGCCUAAAUACAAGGCUCUCAAGUACCGCAAGGGCCUUAGUACAAGGCUCUCAAGUACAAGGGCCUUAGUACAAGGCUCUCAAGUACCACAGGGGCCUACGUACAAGGAUCUCAAGUACAUCAAGGGCCUUUGUACAAGGAUCUCAAGUACAAGGGCCUAAGUACAAGGCUUUCAAGAAGGGCCUAAAUACAAGGCUCUCAAGUACCACAAGGGUCUUAGUACAAGGCUCUCAAGUACAACAAGGGCCUAAGUACAAGGCUCUCAAGUACCACAAGGGCCUUAGUACAAGGCUCUCAAGUACAACAAGGGCCUAAGUACAAGGCUCUCAAGUACAACAAGGGCCUAAGUACAAGGAUCUCAAGUACAAGCAAGUUGUCAAAAGAUUUGUUACAAGUGACAAACCAGGAGGACUUGUCGGCCAGAGAUAUACAAUUGUUGAUAAUAUAGGCUGUUUUUUCCAACUAGAAGGGAGAUCCUUGGAAUCCUACAACUUGAUGCUUUCAGAUCUAUUUUGUUUGAAAACCUGUCUAGGAAUCAAGUUACAUUAUGGUUUAUUGUAACAAAAGCAAUUAAACAGCUGGGGGCGAAUCUCAUUUACAGCAAGUAGACUGUAGGUUUGUUUAUUUUUAGAAUACUCCAUUAAAUAUUCUUAUACAUGUACUGUUCAGCAUUUUAGUCAAUGAAUCUCAUGACAUCCUAUUUGGAAGUGUGCUUAUAGUUAUGAUUGACAAGAUAGCAUUUAUAGUGCUUCGGUUGACUUGGACCAACCCAUGUGUUUUUUGGAGGGAAAAGACGUCAUUGCAUAUUGUUGUGUUUAGAAAGAAGCAUAAUAAAAAAAAAAUUGAGAAGAAAAUGAUCUGAUUAUUAUGACAAGUGUAUUGAAAUGACCCAUUUACAAUGUGAAACAAAAAAAGACCAAUGAUCAUUAUCUUAAAUUCGUAUUCAAAUGAGACAAAAUGUUUUAUGGUAAAAUAUGUUGUAUUUAUUAUUCAUAUGAUGCAAACUAGCAUGGACCAAAAGAAACAACAUGUUGAUGCAUAAAAAAACACCUGAAAAACACAAGAUGAUGGUGCAAACUAUGAAAUCCACAUGCCAAAAAUAUAUUUAGAAACAUGUAGAUGUAUAAAACAUAUUGUAGAUGUGACAAUACAAGGGGUGCACAUUAUAAUCCAUAUGUAACUUUAGGGUUACAGUAUCUAUAUAUCAAAGGGAAAAGCAUUUCAAUAUAUUAUUUCCUCAUACUGUCUUCAUGAGUCAAAGGGAGUACAUUAAUGAUUCACUACAAGACAUGUCUGUUCAACCAAAAUCUGUAACAUGAUGUGUCUGUUGAAGUAGACUUAAACCUCAGACUUUUUGAAAAUCAAUAGCUUCCAGGUCUAUUUUAAAUUAGUUGUCAAGAAAACGCGCAAUGUCAAUCCGUAUGCAAGAAAUAAAAUCAUUUAACCAAUUUUGUUUCAACCUUCAACACAGUCAGUAUGUAGAGCCUUCUUUUAUGGACUUUUCAGACAUUGUUGACUUUGGAUUUUCCUUAAUAGGCACCGUUGCAUGAAACAGCCCUUUUAAGUUAAGCCUAAAAAAAAAAUAGUAUUGGUUCUCAGGCACCGCCGCAUCAUUAUAAAGUUCGCGCACGUUUAGUUUUUAUUUCCAGUAUUUGAAAAAACCCACAAGAAUCCUUAAAUAUUCCAAGUCCAAUAGUAGUCAAAUACUGUAUUCCAGUAUUUUACUCAUCAAGGAAAUCAUUUAUGUGGGAGGCCCUCUCCCAGGUUGAUUGUACAAGACUGUUUAUUUGGUUACACCACUGUUUAUUUGGUUACACCACUGUUUAUUUGGUAACACCACUGUUUAUUUGGUUACAUACUAGUUUGAACACCGCACACACGCUCUGUUUUCAAAAGUCAUUGCCUGAGAACCAAUUCUUUUAUUCUUUUAAGGCUAAUGUAUUGGACCAUUCUAUAUGAUACAGGUGUAUUGUUGGGCCACUAAGACUAUCUGCAUACCAAAUGAUGUGAUGAACAUAAUGUUUGUAAUAAGAACAUGAACAAUGCCUGUGGGUAUCAGAUCUGUACAUAGACAUAUAGUACUGCACUGAUUUGAUUACUAUUUUAUUUAUUCAUUCUCAAGGAAGGUGUUGGUGAUGCUAAGUUUGUGUGACUGAGAUGACUUGCUGGAAGUAGGUGGUGUGGCCAUCAACGAGUGCUUGUGUAUGUAGGAUGCUGCCAUGCAUGUCAUGGAGACAUUCACUCAGUGUAUGACUGCAUUUUGAAAACGGUUGUGUUGAUCCAUCAUUUCAACAGAAAUAUGGGUUUGCUUUUGUGUUUUAUCUUAUUUUCUAAACAUUGUACAUAGAAAAAUAUUUAAUUGAAACGUGAAGUUUGUGUAAGAUUAUUUCUCUCUCUGUGUUGUCAGUUUUUGUGCCUUGUUUUAAUUAAUGUUUUACAAAAUAUGUCAGGAGUUGAUCUUUUGGCUCAAAAUUUAGAUUAUCUUUUUCAUUCCAACUGAUUUAAUUGUUUUAAACAAAAUUAAGGGUUAUCAGUUUAAGUUGAUGGAAUGGUCUCCUUUAAUAUGAUUUUGGAAUUUGUAUUAUUGACCAACAUCAUUAUGCCAAGUUAUACUUUGUGCUGAAACCAGUGCUAACAAGCUGUUUGUAUUGAACCAUAUUUCUUCCAUCAUUAGAGAUUUCCAUCGAUAAGAAUUGUUCUUCAUGAUUUUAGAGUCUUUGAAUACCCUUAUAACAAAAUCCAUGUUAGCAGAGGACAAAAGUUCGCAACUCGGAGACUUUUAUGAUUUCUCCAAACUUGAGGAAAUUAUUGAAUAAAUAAAGAAGAUGCAAGUAAUGAUAAUGUAUCUUCCCUGUGUUUAUGUUCAAAACAAGAAUACUUGUUGAUCAUCCUUGUGCUGGAUGUUUGUGGUGAUCGGCAAUCUUGUACUGAGUUAAUUUUAGAAUGAUUUUAAAUUGACUUUUCUGUUUAGGUUGAGUCCCAUAUCAUUAGGUAUCCGAUCAUUCGUUGACAUUAUGGUUGUAUUUAUGGCAUGAUAAAUCAUGAUGGCUCGUGGUGAAAUGUGUUUGGUAAUAUUAAUGAGGGAUUGUUUGGAAAUUGGUAUCGGGACGCAGGUUAUAGAGUUUAUAGUAAAUGGGGUCCAAUGUUAAGUUGUUAUAUUGUUGUUUAAAGAUGUUAUUAUUUUGUGUGGUUUACAUUUACAUAGAGGUCUUGAUUGUAUUGAACUAUCACAACACGAAGACAGGUACGUCUUUUUGUGUUUGAUUUGUGAAUAUUAGUAGACGACUUCGUUUUAUCAUAGGUCAGAAUGAAGUGUGGUGCUAGUUCUUUACACAUUCUCUCCAUUAGAUACAAGAUGCUGCAUAGGAUAAGUAAUCUACCUUAUAAUUAGGAACGUUAUUUUUAUAGCAAUAUCAUAACUUGUCAACCGAGUAUUCACUAACUGUUUUCCCCUUAACCUUCUCUAAAAAUAGAAAGGCAAAUUUGAUCUUGAUACUCCUUACAGGACCUCAUGAUUUCAAUAGUUACUAGACCGAGAAAUGAUAAUCCUUCAAUUGAUGAAUAUAAUAAGCGAUAAAUGUGCAAUAAGGUUACAUUCAGAAAAGCUGCCUUUGGCAUGUCAAGUAAUGUGGAAUAUUGGUAGUGUAAAGCUGGUUCACAAUGUUAUUUCCUUUGUUGUGGUACCAUUGCUAGAUGCAAGUGGUAAAGGGUUUACUUUCUAUCUUAAAAAAUAAUCACAAAUCAUAGUGCUUAGGGUCCAGUUUGUUUCAAGCACCACACAUGUGAUUGGGUUUCACUGUAUGAUGUCUAAUUUCAGAAUGCAAGACUUUCAUUGUGGAAGUAGUGUGUCAUUGUGACGAGGGUUAACCUGCCAUGGUGGAUUGUCUUUCAUUUUAACAUAUGCAACACAUCAUGUAUAAAUGUUAUAUACAUCAUGUUCCAUAGAUAACUAUGUCUACAUCAAUCACGGCCAUGUAUUUAUAUUUCAAAUAUUCCAUACUUGCGAUAAUAUAUUGCUCUUAUUUGAGGUUGCCUGUUUUUGUUCUUGCUACGUGAUAUGUUCCAUAUCAGCUUUUGCUUUAAAGAAUCAGGGUUAUGUAUUCCAGGAUCACCUUCGGCAGUCUCACCAAGGGUGGGUGGUAUGGCCAGGGUCCAAGUACUGUUCCUAUCUAUAAGCACUGCAUGAGGUCCAUUUACAAAAUGUAGUAAACACAACAAGCAUUUGUGCGCAGAAAGGUAUGCAGACCUGCUUGUCGUUUUCAUCAGACCUAUUAACAUCUACAUUAUCAGUGUUCGAAAUACCUGCCUGCCUGACCGUCCGAGACGGGUUGAUUUCAACUCGGGCUGCCAGAUUUUCAAAUCCCCCUGCCCGACAGUCGGGUUGUAUUUCAUAUGUGACGAUAUUCUAAAUAUUUCCCGAUGAUUAUCCCCCGCCGCGCGAAAGCGCGAAGCGGGGGAUAUAGUAUUCACGACCAUCCGUACGUACGUCCGUACGUCCGUACGUCCGUACGUCCGUCGAUAAUCAUUAAUUCACAUGUAAAGAUGAAUGAUAAAAUGUAACCAAAAAGAAAACCCGUUAGCUUAUCCUGAGAAACAUAAGUUAUAGUGGGCAGGCAGGUUUUCGUCAGGGCUGGCAAGUAUUUCAGCUAGCCAGUCCUGUGGUCUGGCUGAAAUUUUUGGGAGUUUCAUACCCUGACAUUAUAAACGUUAAUACUUUUAUUUCCCCACAAACUGGGCUGUGUUAGGAAAUAUUGAAAUUGAAGAAACUUGUUAUAUUUUCUAAUUGAUCUUGCAAAACUAGAGUCAUUCUGACAACCCUUAUGAAAAUAAAUAUAAAGUCUAAUUUCUCUUCUCAUAUUGAUCUUUUUAUAUUGUAUUUCAUCAUGGAAAUUGAUUCAGAGGCAAGAGGAAAAGAUUAUGAGAAGUCAUGGGUUGGUGAAUCUGUAAGCCAGGUAAAAAUGCUGUCAUCUUUAUGAAUUAUUAACACUGAAUUAAUUGCAUUUAUGCAACUUCAUAACUAUCUUAUCCGAUUUCCCCCAAAUCUGUUUGUAAUUAUGGUUUAGGUGAAAGAGGAAUACAUGACCUUGUUUCGGAAAGUGGUCACUUUGUCAAACAUUUUACAUCUUGUUAAUUAUUUACCCGUUUUGUUGUCCACUUGGUUUAUACUUAUACACUGUCUUUUGUGCAAAGGUCUUUUUCUGGUGCUCAGCUGUUGAUCAAAUUAUCCUGUCAGUUUUGGUGUCUUGUGUUUCUAAUGCAGUCCUAACUACCAUAUUCGACCUAUGUAUUCUGCAUACUGUAUGUAAGUUGUAAGGCAAGGGAUACUUGUGACCUCAUCAGCACAUUUAUUAACAUCUAUUUCAGAUUCAUAUCUCAUCAUGACUUAAAGGACAAGGUAUAAUAAAGGCAUGUUUUGGCCCACUAGGAAUGUCAAAUACUGAAGCAAGAACUUUCAUAUAUUGUUAUAAAUAUGAGCGGACAAGUUCAUGUGAGCCUUUUUGUACUCGAAACAUGAGAUGGCACAGAAGUACAUUCGUGGCUUUAGUAGGAUAUAUAUAUCUGAUAUUUUUAAAAUUUCACCAUGUUGUUCUGUCUUAACCUUCAUCACCUAAGACACACAAUAGUUAAGACUUACCGUAUUCGACAUAAUAAGCGCCCAGGGCGCUCUCAAAAUUAGAAAUAGGGGGCUCUUAUUAGAAUGUUAUUUUGAUGAAAAACAACGGAGUUCAAAGAGCGUAAAUUUCGUGGUUUAUGCUGAAAUGUUUAUAAACGACAGAUAUAUUUUUCCAGAAUUUAAUUGCCCAUAAUUAAGGGUGCAUAUAACAAACGUAUUAUGAACGAAUAAAUAGCCUUGUGUACAUUUAUCAAUCAGAAGGGGUGCUAAUUGGGAUAUUUCACUAGCCAGUAUAUUAGCAAAUAUCGCCGUGGGCGCUUAUUAGAGCGGGGCGCUUAUUACGGUAUUCAUUUUUAAAUACCCCGGUAUUUGUAACAGGUUUCUGGAAACAUCAACCUUUUUGACACAUUUUAUCUUCAUGUUAUAGAGUUUGGGUUAUAAAAAUCCACAACAGAAGUUUUGAAAUAAACAAAGUCUAAUUUUUACUUGAAUUGAAGUGUCUUAUAACUUUCAUAACUGUUACUAUAACAAAUGCUCGGUUUAUUCAGAUCUGCAGGCCAAAUAUGGUUCUUAUCAUACCUUCCUCUGCCUUUGCAAUUGGGGUUCUCUUCAGGAUGGCAAGAUUCUAAAUUGGUCAAAUAUGGUACAUUAUUUGCAUUUAGACAGGUAGAAACUGUUCAAGAGCAUUUGAUAAGACAUUGUUUACCCCCUAUGAAACAAGAAAAACAUGUCAUACUUAGUUUGGUGAAUCAGAAUUUGUAACCUCGAGCUGAAGCGCUCGGUUCCAAAUUAAAAUAUGAAGUAUGUACUCUACAGUGGGACUACAUCAAAUUUCAAAACACACUAGGUUUAUCUCCUAAUUGUGCCACAUUUAUUCCUGCAAUUCAUGUCAUAUAUUGGUAGUGCUGUUUGCUUUAGCAACUUGCUUAUCUCCACUGUCUCAAUUAGUAGCCACAGCUGCAAAGUUCACAUAUUUUCUCAUGUCUCAACUCCCAUUCCUAACAGUGUCAGAAGCAUUUCUGUUCUGCUUCUCAUAUCAUGCAUGCCCAGCCGAGCAGAAACACUUUAUACAUAUGGUGAUAUAUUACAUGAUGUUUUUUGUUUAAUGUUUAUUUUUCUUUAUUAAAGCGAGACUAUACCCAAUGUUUGGGCCCCUUUUAAAAGGAAGGCUUAGACCUUGUAAUAUGUUUCAUUUGUGAAAUUGGGACAUUGUCAUUUUGUUUUAAAAAAAAUCUGUGGAUGACUAAUUAUUGCCUGAUAGUCAAGGGCAUGGUUAACUCAUAUCUGGCGAUAGGUUAAUUUACCCAGACCGCUUCUCCUUUAAGCUGCAUGACACUCAUUUUUAUCACUGUCAUAUUCCAGCAAGUUAAUUAAUAAUCAAGAAUAUUGUCCUCAAAUUCUUAUAAAGAUCCUUUGUGAUAUAAGGAUGAGAAUUGGUUUCUUAAGACUUUACUGUGUUUGUGGUGAGGGGGAAUUUGCUGCUUGCGGUUCCUGAGAACCAGACAAUGUCUGCCAUAGAAAAGAACUCUAGUCCAGUGAGGUUUGGACCUUACCUAUGCAAUACUUCUACAGAGUCUCUUACCAACAAUGCAGCGUUAUGAAUAGUGUUUGUGCUACCAGGAUUGAUCACCUUAGAGUUAUUGUCUUGAGAUACGGAACUAGGUUCUGAGAGUCUGUAUUAUUUAGAUAACUGAAGUCAGAUGGGCAUGAUAUUGUCUUCUAGAUGUAUUCUUGAUGAAUGGCACAUCCUAAUGGAUGACACCUGCUCUUCAUGCAACAGCCAAACCUACCUUCGUAUUGUUAACUGUAUUAUUCAAUUAGUUUGUUUAGAUAUAACUCAAAUUCCCUUAAUAGCCAUUAGAUUAGUGGCAUGACCUUGUGAGUUAGUUAAUAUUUAAUCACUUCAGCAAUCUCUUCAGCUACAUUGUGAUAAAGUCAUGGGCUUGUAGCAAGCUUUUUUGUUCUUUGAAGAUCUUUUGAUUUCAUCACUUCUCUUUAAGGUACAUUUAAUUUACAAUAUUAGUGAAUAGUUAAAAAGAAAAGAAAAUUGUAUUAGAAACUUUGCAUCACUUUGAAGGAAAUGUUGCCAUUUUUCAGCAUACAAAAUGUUUCAAGAUCUCACUUUACUCCUGCUUUGAAAGACUUUCAUAAUGGUGACAGACAUUUAUCAUAGUCAAUAUCGAUCAUGCAAUUAUGCUUUGCACAUGUAAAUUAGUCCUGUACAUAAUGUAAUUAGCAAUAUGUCCUCACAGAUAGACUAUUUUGUGAUACUGGAUGACACUGCAGCAGUCUGUUCUGUAACAUACAUUCAACAUGUACAUUAUGAGAUUGGUCACUCUUCUACUCCUGUUGUCAUAUGCUGUUGAACUACCGAUUGUUUUUGUUAUGACACUUUUUGUGUAUCAGCCAGUUAGGCACACCCUAGCUUGCCUUGCCAUCUCCAUGAAUACCAGUGAUCUGAUGCCGGAGGUUCGUGGUCAGAUUCUCAGUUACAGUUAUCUGUUACAAGUUCAGUCAUCCGUACCAUGCUAUGAGUGGUUUCUUCAUAGACUCUGAAUGAUUAAUUUUCAUCCGUUUCAUUAAUUUGUUAGAAUUAUUCACUGCUACUUUGAAAAUGCAAUUUUGAUCAUAGCUUGUAAUUUUGAAUAAUCUAGGACUUUGAGUUUGGAAAAACUCAAAUAAUAAUGAUGUACCUGUAACAAGGUAUAUAAUAUAAUAUAUCAUAUAUUUCAGAGCAGCCUUUCAUUCCUUAAGGAAUGGACAGUUUGUUUUGGAAGGGAACAUAUAAAGAAUUGUCAUUUCAUGUGCUUGUUGCACAAGGACAGUAUGUUGAGUUUCAGCAUAGAUAAGAUUUAAUAUUUCUCUGAUAUUGUCUGUGUGAAACCAUUCAAAUUUUGGUUAUUUGAAAGUGCAAUUUUUUCAGAGUGUAAAAUUGCUUCCAGCAUAAAUAGGUUUCCUUCAUAAUUGGCCUGAUCUUCCGUAACAGUUCACCAACAGAGAUAAUGUCACAUCACGUUCAUGAGGGUUCUGGUAUUUUCAUUUGAGUUCUAUCUUUACCUUCAGGAAAUGACAGAAAUUUCUAAUUUAUUUAUUAAUUUAUUAGAAAGUGAAUUGAAAAUUAUAGACAUGGAAGAUUAUUUAUUUGGGAAACUUCUCCAGCGUCUCAGCCCAUGCCCCCUCUGAAGGUGAAAUGACCCGUGCCUGGGCGCCAUUGUACAAAACAACCUCAGCGCUACGACUGUCGUAAGUCUAUGUUAAGGUAUGGGAGUUAUGACCACCUUAGCGCAAAGAUUGCUCUGUACAACUGCACCCAGAUGUGUUGUGCAACAAGGUGAGGGAAUGUCCAGUUGUAUGUCAACUAUCCAGGUGAUGGUUAUGUACAUGUUAUCUGUGUUUACUGCUUUGACACAACGGUGUUGACAUCUUAGUGCAAUCUGUUACCGCUUACCAAGUUAUGCCCCCAGCAGUGGGUUGUUGACAAUAUACUGCAACUGGUUCUCAAACAGGGUGAAUGUACGACUCACAACUACAAAUCUGCAAUAAAGUUUAAACAAGUACCUGGUGUUCUGUCAAUCUCUUGCCUGUGUGAAAUAAUAUCAAUUUAAGCACUAAAUAUCUGAAAGCAACAGGUUUAUUCCUGUAAGGUGUACAUUAUGCAUUCAAUAUUCGCGUAUGUACAGGUACUGUAAAAAACUACAUACAGCAUUAUUUACUUUUCACAACUCAAAUGACUAAUAUAAAGCAAGGCAUAGCAAAGAGUAGUCAUACCAACAAUGGCAACUUAACAGAAUUAACUUAUGUAUUACUGUAAUCAUUGAGUCCCUGCUUACAUAGGCCAAUAGUGUGCGGGGACCUAAUCUAACCCCAAAAGAUGGUCUUGUGGAUAGCGUCUGCCUGGAGAGCAGAAGGUCUGUGGUUCGAUUGCCGGCUGUUUCAUA
rnacentral:misc_RNA from 1 species